GGUUGACCUCGGAUCAGGUAGGGAUACCCGCUGAACUUAAGCAUAUCAAUAAGCGGAGGAAAUAUG
rnacentral:rRNA from 1 species